rnacentral:rRNA from 1 species
UACAGAGGCCCCAAGCAUUAUCCGGAUUUACUGGGCGUAAAGGGUGCGUAGGCGGUUAUAUUAGUCAGGUGUUAAAUCCUGGGGCUCAACCCCAGAAUCGCAUUUGAAACGGUAUAACUAGAAUGAGUCAGAGGCAAGCAGAACUCACGGUGUAGGGGUGAAAUCCGUUGAUAUCGUGGGGAAUACCAAAUGCGAAGGCAGCUUGCUGGGACUUUAUUGACGCUGAGGCACGAAAGCGUGGGUAGCGAAUCGG